CCUACGGGAGGCAGCAGUGAGGAAUAUUGGUCAAUGGGCGAGAGCCUGAACCAGCCAAGUAGCGUGCAGGACGACGGCCCUAUGGGUUGUAAACUGCUUUUAUGCGGGGAUAAAACGCGGGACGUGUCCCGCCUUGCAGGUACCGCAUGAAUAAGGACCGGCUAAUUCCGUGCCAGCAGCCGCGGUAAUACGGAAGGUCCGGGCGUUAUCCGGAUUUAUUGGGUUUAAAGGGAGCGUAGGCCGCUUUGUAAGCGUGUUGUGAAAUUUGCCGGCUCAACCGGUAACUUGCAGCGCGAACUGCAGAGCUUGAGUGUGCGCAACGUUGGCAGAAUUCGUCGUGUAGCGGUGAAAUGCUUAGAUAUGACGAAGAACUCCGAUUGCGAAGGCAGCUGACGGGAGCACUACUGACGCUGAAGCUCGAAAGUGCGGGUAUCGAACAGGAUUAGAUACCCUGGUAGUCCGCACGGUAAACGAUGGAUGCCCGCUGUUUGCACAUUGUUGCAAGCGGCCAAGCGAAAGCGUUAAGCAUCCCACCUGGGGAGUACGCCGGCAACGGUGAAACUCAAAUGAAUUGACGGGGA
rnacentral:rRNA from 1 species